rnacentral:rRNA from 1 species
GACGAACGCUGGCGGCGUGCUUAACACAUGCAAGUCGAACGGAAAGGCCCUGCUUGUGUGGGGUGCUCGAGUGGCGAACGGGAGAGUAACACUUGAGUAACCUGCCCUUGCCUUUGGGAUAACUUUAGGAAACUGGGGCUAAUACCGGAUAGGAGCUCCUGCUGGAUGGUGGGGGUUGGAAAGUUUCGGCGGUUGGGGCUGGACUCGCGGCUUAUCAGCUUGUUGGUGGGGUAGUGGCUUACCAAGGCUUUGACGGGUAGCCGGCCUGAGAGGGUGACCGGCCACCUUGGGACUGCGAUACGGCCCAGACUCCUACGGGCGGCAGCAGUGGGGAGUCUUGCACAGUGGGCCGAAGCCUGAUGCAGCAACGCCGCGUGCGGGAUGCCGGCCUUCGGGUUGUAAACCGCUUUCGCCUGUGACGAAGCGUGAGUGACGGUAAUGGGUAAAGAAGCACCGGCUAACUACGUG